GACGAACGCUGGCGGCGUGCUUAACACAUGCAAGUCGAACGGGUCUGCCCUGUUUUUUGCGGGGUGGGUCAGUGGCGAACGGGUGAGUAUCACGUGAGUAACCUGCCCCUCACUUCUGGAUAACCGCUUGAAAGGGUGGCUAAUACGGGGUGUUCUGGCUGUGCCGCAUGGUGUGGCUGGGAAAGAUUCACUUUUGUGGUGUUUUGGUGGGGGAUGGGCUCGCGGCCUAUCAGCUUGUUGGUGGGGUGAUGGCCUGCCAAGGCUUUGACGGGUAGCCGGCCUGAGAGGGUGGGCGGUCACACUGGGACUGAGAUACGGCCCAGACUCCUGCGGGAGGCAGCAGUGGGGGGUAUUGCACAAUGGGCGGAAGCCUGAUGCAGCGACGUCGCGUGAGGGAUGGAGGCCUUCGGGUUGUGAACCUCUUUCGCCGGUGAAGAAGGUCCUGCUCUUUGUGGUGGGGUUGACGGUAGCCGGGUUAUGAAGCGCCGGCUAACUACGUG
rnacentral:rRNA from 1 species